UGGGGAAUCUUGGACAAUGGGUGAGAGCCUGAUCCAGCCAUGCCGCGUGCAGGAAGAAGGCGUUAUGCGUUGUAAACUGCUUUUGCCAGGGGAUAAAAAGACCGUGCGCGGUUAAUUGAAGGUACCUGGUGAAUAAGCCACGGCUAACUACGUGCCAGCAGCCGCGAUAAUACGUAGGUGGCAAGCGUUGUCCGGAUUUAUUGGGUUUAAAGGGUGCGUAGGUGGCCCUGUAAGUCAGUGGUGAAAUAUCUCAGCUUAACUGAGAGGGUGCCAUUGAUACUGCAGGGCUUGAGUACAGAUGAGGUAGGCGGAAUUGACGGUGUAGCGGUGAAAUGCAUAGAUAUCGUCAAGAACACCGAUAGCGAAGGCAGCUUACCAAGCUGUAACUGACACUGAGGCACGAAAGUGUGGGGAUCAAACAGGAUUAGAUACCCAUGUAGUCCCUGAGCGGGCUGGCAAGGCGCAU
rnacentral:rRNA from 1 species